rnacentral:rRNA from 1 species
GAUGAACGCUAGCGGCAGGCUUAAUACAUGCAAGUCGUGGGGCAGCAGGUUUGUAGCAAUACAGAUGCUGGCGACCGGCAAACGGGUGCGGAACACGUACACAACCUUCCUUUAAGUGGGGAAUAGCCCAGAGAAAUUUGGAUUAAUACCCCGUAACAUUAUGAUGUGGCAUCACAUUAUAAUUAUAGCUACGGCGCUUAAUGAUGGGGGUGCAGCUGAUUAGGUAGUUGGCGGGGUAACGGCCCACCAAGCCUGCGAUCAGUAACUGGUGUGAGAGCACGACCAGUCACACGGGCACUGAGACACGGGCCCGACUCCUACGGGAGGCAUCAGUAAGGUAUAUUGGGCAAUGGAGGAAACUCUGACCCAGCCAUGCCGCGUGGAGGAUGAAGGUCCUCUGGAUUGUAAACUUCUUUUAUAUGGGACGAAAAAGGGUCUUUCUAGGUCAACUGACGGUACCAUAUGAAUAAGCACCGGCUAACUCCGUGCCAGCAGCCGCAGUAACAC